GAGAGGAGAAGAAGAGAGACUGCACCUGGAGCCUGGAGGACAUCUGCCUGGAGGAUCAACUGUGCUGGACAUCCUGAGAGGACACCUGGUUGUUUAUCGUUGGUGGACCUCUUCUGGACUGGACUGCACUUGGUGGACAUCGGCCUGCAGAUCUCUGCGUGGAGGAUCAACAUUGCUGGACAUCUGCACUGGUGGACUGCAUCGUGGAGGAGAGGAGGACCAGCUGCAAGACCGCCUGAACAUCGCUGGACUGCAGGACUGGUGUUAGUGUGACCGAUCCGCUCAGCUACUGGGCCAGGAAGGAGUCGGUCUGGCCGGACCUCUCCCUCGAGGCGCAGCGGCUGCUCUCAUGCCCUCCGACGAGCGUGGAGAGCGAGCGCGUCUUUUCACAUGCGGGCGACAUUGUCGGCCCACAUCGCACUCGCCUUCUCCCAUGGAGAGUCGAGCAGUUGACCUUCCUGAAGGUCAACUCUCGCCUCUUCGAUUUCUCAGGACUGGACUUCCAGAGUGAC